rnacentral:rRNA from 1 species
UACGUAGGGGGCAAGCGUUGUCCGGAAUUAUUGGGCGUAAAGCGCGUGCAGGCGGCCUUGUAAGUCUGUCGUUUAAACUCGGAGCUCAACUUCGAGUCGCGAUGGAAACUGCAAAGCUUGAGUGCAGAAGAGGAAAGUGGAAUUCCACGUGUAGCGGUGAAAUGCGUAGAGAUGUGGAGGAACACCAGUGGCGAAGGCGACUUUCUGGGCUGUAACUGACGCUGAGGCGCGAAAGCGUGGGGAGCAAACAGG